rnacentral:lncRNA from 1 species
UGCAAUUCAUGAUUUUAUAUUAUUUUGCGAUAUUAGAGGCCUCGAGUAGGUCUGUGUCAUAUUUUGGGACUUAUUGUUAUGUUCGGACAGGGUCCCGAGGGCUCGGGUGUGUUUCGGGGUGGUUUCGAACCAUGAUGGAUAAUGAGUGCACUGCUAGUUUUCUGUUGAUUUCUGAUGCCUCUAGUGUUCUUCACGGCCGCGAAGGUAAAGCAACAAUCGCGAAAUGUAUUUUGGGCCACUCGUGGUUUAUUCAUCGUGGACGCGAUAGGUGGAGCGCGUUCGUAGAGGUUUGAAACAGUUUUUUCGCGUUUGUGCCAAUGGUACCGCGUUCGCAUUGUGGAGCUGGGAGCUAGUGGAGUUUCCUUUGCGAUCGCGAGGUCGAUGCAACGUUCGUGAAUGGUUGGCAAAGUUGUGUAUUAUGUUCGUGAGGUAUGUGUCACAAUCAUGAAGUGUAUUUCUGUGGGCAGUGAAGUUUGUGCUUCGCGAUCGCGAAGUUGGUCUCGCGAUCGCGAAGUGUUUACCUGGGCAGUGCUUAUAAAAUAUCAUAUUCGG